rnacentral:lncRNA from 1 species
UAGCGGUCAAGCAGGGAAAUGGUUCCAAUCGUUUUUCCCAUAAGGGAUUUGAGAAACACUUAAAAUAAGGGCUGCAAGCUCCUGGACAUUAUCUCCAGCUGGAACCUUUGCAAACAGGUCUGCAAUAAGGAGUCCAACAGACAAUGUGAUGUCCCCAUGUACAAGACAGCUCAUGAAGAAAGCUAUCAAGGACAUACCGUCAUCUCCCAGACCCAGACGGGAAGCAAAAGAGAACACUGCAAAUAAAUGAAUUACCUUUUUAUGUACAGUGUGAUGUCUUUACGGUAUUCCUCUCUCUGCUAAGAUGGGCAGAUAAAUUAAUCAUUGACAUUUUCCUGACAUUCUACCGUCUUUUUAAUAUGUUCUUACUAACCAAGCUGCUCACACUUUAUUGAUCCAUUAUGCAAUGUGGUGUAUAUGGGGGGGGGUUAUAUUCUUCAUUUAUAUGGGGGUUAUAUUCUUCAUUAAUAUGGGGCUGUUAUAUUCUUCAUUAAUAUGGUGUAUACGGGGGGGUUAUUCGUCAUUAAUAUGGUGUAUACGGGGGGUUAUUCUUCAUUAAUAUGGUGUAUACGGGGGGUUGUUCUUCAUUAAUAUGGGGGGGGUUAUAUUCUUCAUUUAUAUGGGGGGGGUUAUAUUCUUCAUUAAUAUGGUGUAUACGGGGGGUUAUAUUCUUCAUUAAUAUGGUGUAUACGGGGGGUUAUAUUCUUCAUUAAUAUGGUGUAUACGGGGGGUUAUAUUCUUCAUUAAUAUGGUGUAUACGGGGGGGGUUGUUAUAUUCUUCAUUAAUAUGGUGUAUGCGGGGGGGGGUGUUAUAUUCUUCAUCUAAAUCGCACUGUUUGUGUUAAUCAUUGGUUUUCUUGUGAAUGUAUAAUGCUAUUUGCACUUUAGAGGACAUGUGCUGUUCAUUGUACACUGCUUUAAGUGGUGGGGGUGUUAUAAUCUCAAACAAGUGUUCUGUAUAUAUGCCCUUUGCACAGGUAGACUUCCAUGGUUUAAAAAAAGUAGACUACUUUAUAUUCUGUUUGUACAUUGGCUUUAUGUUGCUCAGUUUUCAAUAUGUAACUAGCAAAAAAGGACUUGGCUCACUGCUUUCAAUAAACAUAUUUGAAAUGGA